rnacentral:rRNA from 1 species
AACGAACGCUGGCGGCAGGCCUAACACAUGCAAGUCGAGCGCCCCGCAAGGGGAGCGGCAGACGGGUGAGUAACGCGUGGGAAUCUACCUAGUGGUACGGAAUAGCCCAGGGAAACUUGGAGUAAUACCGUAUAAGCCCGAAAGGGGAAAGAUUUAUCGCCAUUAGAUGAGCCCGCGUUGGAUUAGCUAGUUGGUGGGGUAAAAGCCCACCAAGGCGACGAUCCAUAGCUGGUCUGAGAGGAUGAUCAGCCACACUGGGACUGAGACACGGCCCAGACUCCUACGGGAGGCAGCAGUGGGGAAUAUUGGACAAUGGGCGCAAGCCUGAUCCAGCCAUGCCGCGUGAGUGACGAAGGUCUUCGGAUUGUAAAGCUCUUUUGGCGGGGACGAUAAUGACGGUACCCGCAGAAUAAGCCCGGCUAACUUCGUG